GACGAACGCUGGCGGCGUGCUUAACACAUGCAAGUCGAACGGAAAGGCCCUGCUUUCGGGGUACUCGAGUGGCGAACGGGUGGGUAACACGUGGGUGAUCUGCCCUGCUCUUCGGGAUAAGCCAGGGAGGCUGGGUCUAGUAACGACUAGGAGACAUUUUUAGUGUGAUGGUUGGAAAGUUUGUUCGGUUUUUGAUGAGCUGGCUGGCUGGCGGCUUGUUGGGGGGGUAAUGGCCUACCAAGGCGGCGAGGGGUAGCCGGACUGCGAGGGUGGACGGCCACACUGGGACCUACGGGAGGCACAGACAGCGACGGGAGGCAGAUGGGGGGAAGAUUGCCGAAGGGGCGCAGGCCGGAUGCAGCAGCGCCGCGGGGGGGAAGACGGCCUUAGGGUUGUAAACCACUUGCGCUAGGGACGAAGCUCUUUGUGACGGUACCUAGACAAGAAGCACCGGCUAACUACGUG
rnacentral:rRNA from 1 species